UACAGAGGUCUCAAGCGUUGUUCGGAUUCAUUGGGCGUAAAGGGUGUGUAGGUGGCGCCGUAAGUCGGGUGUGAAAUUUCGGAGCUUAACUCCGAAACUGCAUUCGAUACUGCGGUGCUUGAGUGCGGGAGAGGGAUGUGGAAUUCCAGGUGUAGCGGUGAAAUGCGUAGAUAUCUGGAGGAACACCGGUGGCGAAGGCGGCAUCCUGGACCGACACUGACGCUGAGGCGCGAAAGCGUGGGGAGCGAACAGG
rnacentral:rRNA from 1 species